GAAAAUUACUUUUAUCCUGAGAUAAUCACACAAUACUAGUCCCUUCUUCAAGAUACAUUAGUCAAACAGUCAGAUCAUAGUCUCGGAGAACAAACAAGACGUAUGGUCACUACUUACAUCACAUAAUCAUCAUUCAACCAUGAUUUUAUAAGAUGAUAUUUAUGAUUAAACUCUUGGGUCUGACCCAUGCUGCAUUUUCUCACAAUAGCUCCUUUUUCAAGAUGCCGAGACAAUCGAACACACGAGAUGGCCGACAAAUCGAAGGCAUGUCAACAAAUCCAGCAACUUGCAUCCAAUAUACGCCCGCGACGCCCAAACAAUCGAAGGCGCAAAGAAACGUCCACCAAAUUGAAGACACAACAUCAACACCAGGUAAUAUCCACAUGCAAUUCCUCACAUGUGUGUCGGCAUUUUGAUCUCAGCUCAACCUUCCUUCUAAUAUUCUAUGUCAAAACUCUUCUGAUACUAAACUGUAAAGCAUGUUUUUAAUGCAUCCUGACACUACCAUGACACCUAUUGAACAAUUGUUGAUUUAUAGUGCCGUCAUACCAGAUAAAUGUACUUUAUGUGACACCUUAUUAGUCUCUUCAUCAUAUCUCCAAAUGCACUUUCAUGUCUGCAAUGGCAAAACAUUAUUAAGUACUCCCUCUGUAACUUAAUAUAAGACAUUUUUUGAUAGUGUCAAAAAAACGUCUCAUUAAGUUAUCGAGGGAGUACAACAUAAAGCAUAGUACAUGAUACUAUAUUAAGAAAACUCUAUACGUCACUGACAAAAUCACAUUUGCAGAGAUGACAGUCCAGCAUACGUCAGCCCCAGCAGCUCAUCAUACAAAAAGAAAGGAAGAACAACCUCUAAACUCAAGGAGCACAAAGCAGACAAGGACUGGAGAGGGAAGAAGAAAUACGAACACAGAGGCUCCUAAACGAUUGAGAAAGGAUAGUGCUGAAGAAGAUAAGGAAUUGAAGUGUGCAAGAAGCGGAAGCAACAAAAACAACAUUAGAAUCAAUGUUGGAGACAACAACAGAACCACAACCUCGACAAGUGCUAAUAGAAAGGCAUGGAACUUCGGAAGGCCAACAUACAAAUGCCAGUAUUGCAAAGCAUUGCUAUGGUGUGAAGAAAGAUUAAAUUCAAACAAAGGAACAAAGACACCCUCUUUUGGAAUAUGCUGCAAACAGGGAAAAAUCGAUCUGCCACCACUAAGAGAGCCUCCACCAUACCUCAGAAACCUCUUAAGAAGUGAAGGACAGGAUUCAGUAAACUUCAAAGAAAAUAUAAGGUCAUACAACUCAAUGUUUUCAUUCACAUCCAUGGGAGGAGUUGUGGACAAGGAAAUAAACACUCACAAAGGACCUUAUGUUUUUCGUUUGCAUGGACAGAACUACCACCACAUCGGAACUCUUUUACCUGAAGGUACAGACAAACCUCGGUUUGCACAGCUGUACAUCUAUAAUACUGAAAAUGAGGUGGCAAACAGGAUAAGUGCGUCAAGAUGCAAUGAUAAUAAAUCAACAGUGGACCCCAACAUUGUCAAAGAAUUGCAAAUAAUGCUUGACGACAACAACAUCCUCGCAAAAACAUUCAGAAUGGCAAGAGAUAGAUUCCAAGAAGGAGACUACCAUGAUUACACACUUCGGAUACUAGGAAAAAGGAACGGAACACACAACCUUCCAUCCGCAUCUGAAGUUGCAGCAUUGGUAGUAAGAGAUCCAACUGGAGAGAGUGAAGGACGUGACAUUGUUGUUGAGUACAAAAAUAUGGUGCCACAAAGGAUAUCAGAGAUCCACCCGAAAUUCAUGUCCAUGCAAUAUCCUUUGUUGUUCCCAUAUGGAGAAGAUGGUUUUAAACUUGAGAUACCGUACAAGAAAACAAAAGGAGCUAAAAACAGCAGGAAAUACGUAACGUUGUUGGACUACUAUGCAUUCUACCUACAGCAACGUCCAGACCAAGGAAUGUUAUUGCUCAAGUCUGGGCAUCUGUCACUGCAAUUUUGGGUGGAUGUAUACACAUGUAUCGAGCAAAAUAGACUAAACUGGAUCCGACACAAUCAAGGAAAGCUAAGAACUGAACUUUACAGUGGAUUGCAGGAUGCAAUUAAGCGAGGGGACACAAGAACAGAGCAGGUUGGAAAGAGGAUAAUUGUGCCUUCAUCUUUUACAGGUGGUAGAAGAAACAAGGCACAAUACUUGCAAGAUGCAUUCGCGAUAUGUCGUUGGGCUGGAUACCCAGACCUGUUUAUAACAUUCACAUGCAAUGCAAAGUGGCCUGAGAUCCAAUACAUGCUAGAUGAAGCGGGAGGUGGCCAAAAGCCAGCCGAUCGGCCAGAUAUUUUGGACAGAGUAUUUAUGAUAAAACUAAAGGAGCUAAUGAGAGACAUAAAAGAAAAGAAAUACUUUGGAGAAACACUUGCAAGUAAGUCCCAUCAACUAUCAAUAUUUACUCUUUCAUGCGUCAUCUUAUAGUCAGACAAUUCUUACCCUUUAGUAAGAUGCAUUUCAAUUUUACCUAAAUUUAACAAACUAUUAUUAACCAACUGCAGUUAUCUACACAAUAGAAUUCCAGAGGAGAGGACUCCCGCAUGCCCACAUACUAAUAUUUCUGAAGGACAAAGACAAGUACCCAGAACCAUCGCAAAUCGAUAAAAUAAUAAGCGCUGAGAUCCCAAACAAGGACGAGGAUCCUGAGGCAUUUGGAGCUGUCGAGAACUUCAUGAUGCAUGGCCCAUGUGGAGAGGCUAAGCAAAACUCACCAUGCAUGGUGAGCCAUAGAUGCAGCAAGCAUUUCCCAAAAAGAUACAAUGUUAGUACUACCAUCGACGAGGACGGGUUUCCAGUAUAUAAAAGGAAGGACGACGGAAGGCAAAUCAAAAAGGAAGUGGUCAUGCUCGACAACAGAUUUGUCGUGCCAUACAACCGAGAUCUUCUGGUCAAAUUUCAAGCUCACAUAAAUGUCGAAUGGUGCAAUAGGUCUAGAUCAAUCAAGUACCUAUAUAAGUAUAUCGACAAAGACGACGAUCAAGUUACAACCUUGCUCAAGGAAGGGCUCACAGCAAACGAAACUGACGAGAUCAAGAAAUACCUAGAGAUGAGAUACAUAUCAACAUCAGAAGCAUGCUGGAGGAUAUUCCAGUUUGAUCUUCACUAUCGUGAUCCAGCCGUUGAGAGGCUACCUUUCCAUCUUGAAAAUGAGCAGCAAGUGAUUUUUCCUGACUCGACUGAUCUUGACAAGAUAGUUACAAGGGAAGGAUCUAAAAGUACCAAGUUCAUUCAAUGGAUGGAGGCAAAUAAAAUAUAUGAGCUAGGGAAAGAAUUAACGUAUGCAGAAUUCCCUACAAAAUUUGUAUGGAAACGUGAAACAAAAUGUUGGCAGAAGCGAAAAAGGGACUAUGCAAUUGGAAGAAUCUACUAUGCACAUCCCGCAAGUGGUGAGCGACAUUAUCUGAGGAUGCUUCUAAACACCAAGAAAGGAUGCACAUCAUUUGAGGACAUUAGGACCAUUGAUGGAGUCACUCACCCAACGUACAAAUCAGCAUGCCAAGCCCUUGGAUUUCUGGAUGAUGACACUGAGUGGAUUGACUGUAUCAAUGAAGCAUCAAGUUGGGCAUCAGGAGCACAACUGCGUCAGUUAUUCACCACCAUAUUGUCCCAUUGCGAAGUCACAAACCCAAAGAUAUUGUGGGGUUCAACAUGGGAGGCAUUGUGUGAAGAUAUGCAAUACAAAAGAAGGAUUAUUCUAAACAUUCCAACGCUUCAGCUCACCAACACACAGAAACAAGCGUAUGGUCUGAUUGAGAUAGAAAAACUGAUGAGGCAAGUAGGAAAGUCAUUAAAGGAAUAUACAGAGAUAGAGCUACCAAAUGCUGCAGAGCUAGAUGAACUUGGGAACAGACUAAUAAACGAAGAGGUCAACUACGACAUGGAGAAACUCAAGGAUGAGCACAAAACCAUACUAAACAAUCUUAACCAAGACCAGAAGAAAGCCUUUGAUAAAAUAAUGGAAUCCGUCAACAAAGGGCUAGGAAAGCAGAUAUUUGUCGAAGGCUACAGUGGCACAGGAAAAACCUAUCUAUGGAAAGCACUAACGACAAAGCUAAGAUCAGAGGGGAAGAUAGUGCUUGCGGUGGCAUCAUGUGGCAUUGCAGCGUUGCUUCUCCAAGGUGGAAGAACAGCACACUCAAGGUUCCGCAUUCCACUUAAUAUAACUGAAGAAUCAACGUGUGAAAUAAAACAAGGCUCACAUUUGGCUGAACUACUAAAGAAGACCUCACUUAUAUUGUGGGACGAAGCUCCUAUGGCAAACAAACACUGCUUUGAGGCACUAGACAAAAGCCUUAGAGAUAUUCUCAGGUUCACUAACGAAAACAGCGACGAAAAGCCAUUUGGUGGAAUGACAAUUAUACUAGGAGGCGACUUCAGACAAAUCCUACCGGUUAUAACCAAAGUAAGGAGAGAACAAAUAGUUAAUGCUACAAUCAAAAGGUCAUAUCUGUGGAAACACUUUGAAAUAUUUGAGUUAACACAAAACAUGCGGCUGAAGUGUUUGUCAGAUGAUCCAAUACAAAAGCAAAAGGUCGCCGAAUUUGCAGAGUGGAUACUACAAAUUGGCGAUGGGAAAACAGCAUCAGAUGAAGGAGAGGAUUGGAUAAAAAUACCAAAGGACCUACUGCUACAGAAAGGAGAAAAUCAUAAAGAACUAAUCGUCGAAAGCAUAUAUCCAAACUUGCUGCAAAAAUACCGUGAGCGGGAUUACCUAGAAGAAAGAGCAAUACUCUGUCCAAGAAAUGAUACAGUCAAGGAGAUAAACGACCACAUCAUGAGCCAAAUACAAGGUGAUGAGGUGACAUACCUAAGCCUGGACACCGUGUGCAAGGCAACGACAAACACCAAUAUCAUGAUGAACAUGCAGCCUACUGAAUUCCUAAACACCUUGACAUCCCCAGGAAUCCCAGACCAUGAGCUAAAACUCAAAGUGGGUUUGCCGGUCAUGCUCCUGCGCAACAUCAACCAAGCAGCGGGUUUAUGCAACGGUACAAGAAUGACAAUAACACAACUUGGAAACAAAUACAUCGAGACACAAAUAAUCACAGGAACACACAUCGGUGACAAGGUAUACGUACCUCGAAUAAUCAUGUCACCCAGCGACUCAAAAUGGCCAUUCGUGCUGAAAAGAAGGCAAUAUCCAUUAUCAGUGUGCUUCGCAAUGACGAUAAACAAGAGCCAAGGUCAGUCCUUAAACAAGGUAGGAAUAUAUUUGCCUAAGCAAGUGUUCUGCCACGGACAACUGUAUGUGGCAUUAUCAAGAGUGACAAACAAGGAAGGAUUGAAGGUGCUGAUCAAUGACAAAGAGUGUCCAACUGAAGAUGUCGCAAAAAAUAUUGUUUAUAAAGAGAUAUUCUAAUUUACAGUGCAGUUGAUCAAGACAAUCUUCCCGCAAAAAAUAAGACAACCUAACCACAUGUUAUCAACAAAAUAUGUACUUGGUGGGUGUGUUCAUUUUACGUAGCUAAUCAGCAUAUAUAUGUUUGAUCUCUCCACACAAUAUUACUUUUUUUGUUUAUUAGUUACUUAUCCCUGAAUAAUUUCUAUCUCUCUUCUAUCGUCUUUAAAAGAAACUGAAGGAUAAAAAUCUUUAGGUAGCUACAUGCAGUACUAUAUUUGAUCGUUCUGGAGAAAGUUCACCAAUGAAUUCCACCUAAUUAGCGAUUACUAAUCUCUCUUGCACUAACAUUCUCAUCUCUCUUACGGUUUGUUUCUCUAAAAAAAUAGGCAUCAACGAAGCCUCCUCAACCAAAUAAAUGUAUGUGUACAUAUGUACUUUAAUCUUUCAACAAAAUAUACAAUUUCCCAUUCAUCAAUUCUGUAUCUAAAUCUUUAGUGUUUCCACAAAUAAGUUUUUUUGUACAUUAAUAUUUCUAUAAACUUGAGGAAUAAAUUGAAAGCGAAUAAUACAGAUCGUACCAUUUUUUUUAGAAUGGAUAUCAAAUUUAUUGAAUCUACCAUCAUCUCUCUCAUAUUAAGACGUCCAGAAGACAUGAUCCCCAACUCUAAGAUUCCCUCUAAUGAAUAGUCCCCAAAUCUCAAUCUCUAUUCUACCAGCUCCAUGAAAAAGUGGCUGCAGCCUGGAGAUCUAAAUAUCUAAUUUACUUAAUCUUGAGAGUGAUUGCGGCAUGACGAUUCUACCCAUCGAUUUAUAAUCUGGAAUGAAAUUUAGCUGAUGUGACAUGGAGAAAAAAUUAGGGAUUUUAAUACCUGUUCAGGCUCCGCCAAAUCCAUUCGGCCAAAGAGGUUGGGGGUGAUGCUGCGAUGUACAUCUUCCCUCUGCAUAACGUAUGGUUGGUGGCGGUACGCCACUGGGAGGAGCGAGCGACGGCGCAUCCUACAAAUAGUCCAUACAUGAAUAUCAACAGUAUGUAUGUAGAGGUUAUCUGCUAAGUAGAAAUUUUAACUGCAUAUAAUUUUAUAAGUAUCACCAGAUCUUAAAUUACUUAUAAAGAGAUUCAUACCUAUUGCUCUUCCUCCGCCUGACACACAACUGGCCCUUCAGCGCAACGCCGAAACUCUCUGCCUCGGCGCCUGUGGCCUCCCGGCGGCCGCCCUAUGUCUUUCCAGAUCAGCAACGGCGAGAUGCGGCCUCGCUGGUGGCCGGCGCCAGAACCGCAGCCCCAAAGGUCCCCGACUCGGCCAGACAUGGACUCGGAGAGAACACCCUUACAAGCUUUCCUCAUGCACGAGCAGCCCACUGAUUUGGAGACCAACACGCACGAGUUCUUCCGGAAAAUCCGCAACGCCUCCAUCACGCUGCGAACCCGGCGCCGCCGCCACGGCAGCUAGCCGCGGGCCAUUACUCGUUCCCUUUGCCCACCCCGUGGCCACGCCCGGCUUGGAAGAUCAGCACCACAGAAAACCAAAAGGGGAUAUUGUUCUAGUACUG
rnacentral:lncRNA from 1 species